AGGAAUUGGCGGGGGAGCACCACAAGGGGUGAAGCUUGCGGUUUAAUUGGAGUCAACACCGGGAACCUUACCAGGGGCGACAGCUGGAUGAAGGUCAGAUUAAAGGUCUUACCGGACUAGCUGAGAGGAGGUGCGUGGCCGUCGCCAGUUCGUGCCGUGAGGUGUUCUCUUAAGUGAGAAAACGAACGAGACCCGUGCCCUUAGCUGCCAGGGCAUUCCCUCGGGAAUGCAGGCACACUAGGGGGACUGCCUCCGCUAAGGGGGAGGAAGGAGCGGGCCACGGCAGGUCAGUAUGCCCCGGAUCCCCUGGGCCACACGCGAGCUGCAAUGGCUGGGACAAUGGGCUCCGACCCCGAAAGGGGAAGGCAAUCCCUAAACCCAGCCUCAGUUGGGAUCGAGGGCUGCAACCCGCCCUCGUGAACAUGGAAUCCCUAGUAACCGCGUGUCAUCAUCGCGCGGUGAAUACGUCCCUGCUCCUUGCACACACCGCCCGUC
rnacentral:rRNA from 1 species